rnacentral:misc_RNA from 1 species
GACGAUAGCUUUUCUGGGG